rnacentral:rRNA from 1 species
UACGGCCGUAUAACGUUGAAACAUCGGUUCUCGUACGAUCACCGAAGUUAAGCAACGUCGAGUCUAGUCAGUACCUAGAUGGGUAACCGAUUCGGAAUACCAGAUGCUGUAUG